rnacentral:tRNA from 1 species
UGUGGCUUAGUGGUAGAGCACUUGCCUGGCAUGUGUGAGGCCCUGGGUUCAAUCCUCAGCA